rnacentral:rRNA from 1 species
UACGUAGGUGGCAAGCGUUGUCCGGAUUUACUGGGCGUAAAGAGCGCGCAGGCGGUCGUUCAAGUCGAGUGUGAAAGCCCCCGGCUCAACUGGGGAGGGUCACUCGAUACUGAUCGACUCGAAGGCAGGAGAGGGAAGUGGAAUUCCCGGUGUAGUGGUGAAAUGCGUAGAUAUCGGGAGGAACACCGGUGGCGAAGGCGGUUCUCUGGGCCUUACCUGACGCUGAGGAGCGAAAGCGUGGGGAGCGAACAGG